GUUUGUUUAAUGAUCCGUCUUCUGCAGUAGUGAGGGUGUUGUGUCAUCCUAGGACAGCCUUUUGGACUGGUGAAAAUAUAUUUAUGGACUGGUGCUUGGGAAUCACUACUUAGAAGAUAAAAAUAUGAUCUUCAUUUCUAAUCACUUUUAACUGUUGAAUAUCUUUAUUUUUUUCUAUCUAGAACUUAUGUUUAAAUCUGUUUUAAAAGUUUCAAAUAAAACUGUAGUUUCCUCCACGUUGAAGAAAACUUCAAA
rnacentral:lncRNA from 1 species